UGGGGAAUAUUGGACAAUGGGCGCAAGCCUGAUCCAGCCAUGCCGCGUGAGUGAUGAAGGCCCUAGGGUUGUAAAGCUCUUUUGUGCGGGAAGAUAAUGACUGUACCGCAAGAAUAAGCCCCGGCUAACUUCGUGCCAGCAGCCGCGGUAAUACGAAGGGGGCUAGCGUUGCUCGGAAUCACUGGGCGUAAAGGGUGCGUAGGCGGGUCUUUAAGUCAGGGGUGAAAUCCUGGAGCUCAACUCCAGAACUGCCUUUGAUACUGAAGAUCUUGAGUUCGGGAGAGGUGAGUGGAACUGCGAGUGUAGAGGUGAAAUUCGUAGAUAUUCGCAAGAACACCAGUGGCGAAGGCGGCUCACUGGCCCGAUACUGACGCUGAGGCACGAAAGCGUGGGGAGCAAACA
rnacentral:rRNA from 1 species